UCUGUCCCCAUCUCUCAAUCUCAUGCUGAGUCUCUCUGUCUCCAACUGCCUGUCACUGUCUUUGUGUCUCUGUGACUCUCAUUUCUUUUUUUCUGUCUCCUGCUGUCUCUGUGUGGGAUUCCUUGUCUCUCUGCCCCUGCCCUCCCUCUCCUAUCUGAACCCUGGUCUCUGUGUCCCUUAGGGCUUAUCACACCGUUCUCCCCAGAGUCACCGGGAGGAGAGCCGGGACUGGACACAAGCCAGGGCUGGGACAAUGGCAGUGCCUAGUCUGUGGCCCUGGGGAGCAUGCCUGCCUGUGAUCUUCCUCUCCUUGGGAUUUGGCCUGGAUACAGUAGAGG
rnacentral:lncRNA from 1 species